GGCGGGCGGUUCGCCUUCCGGCGUAAACUGCCCGUUCUGAACAGCCGGCCGGUUUCCCUUGAUGAUCUUCACCGGUUGUCUCGGGUGACCGGCGAGUUUACUUUGAAAAAAUUAGAGUGCUCAAAGCAGGCGCGACGCCUGGAUAAUGGUGCAUGGAAUAAUGGAAUAGGACCUCGGUUCUGUUCUGUUGGUCUUCGGGACACGAGGUAAUGAUUAAGAGGGACAGACGGGGGCAUUCGUAUUGCGACGCUAGAGGUGAAAUUCUUGGACCGUCGCAAGACGAACUACUGCGAAAGCAUUUGCCAAGAAUGUUUCCAUUAAUCAAGAACGAAAGUUAGAGGUUCGAAGGCGAUCAGAUACCGCCCUAGUUCUAACCAUAAACGAUGCCAGCCAGCGAUCCGGAUGUGUUCCUCAAAUGACACUCCGGGCAGCUUCCGGGAAACCAAAGCUUUUGGGUUCCGGGGGGAGUAUGGUUGCAAAGCUCAAACUUAAAGGAAUUGACGGAAGGGCACCACAAGGAGUGGGGCCUGCGGCUUAAUUUGACUCAACACGGGGAAUCUGACCUGACCCUGACACAGGAAGGAUUGACAGAUUAAGAGCUCUUUCUUGAUUCUGCGGGUGGUGGUGCAUGGCCGUUCUUAGUUGGUGGAGUGAUUUGUCUGGUCUAUUCUGAUAACGAGCGAGACUCUAUCCUGCUAAAUAGACGUUCCGAUCCUUCCAGUCGGACGGUCUUCUUAGAGGGACCAGCGUCGUCUAGGCGCGCGAGACAGAGCAAUAACAGGUCUGGUAUGCCCCUAGAUGUUCAGGGCCGCACGCGCGCCACAUUGAAGGGAUCAGCGUGUGCUUUCCCUGUCCGACAGGACUGGGUAACCCGUUGAACCUCCUUCGUGCUGGGGAUAGGGGCCUGCAAUUGUUCCCCUUGAACGAGGAACUCCUAGUAAGCGUGAGUCAUCAGCUCGCGUUGAUUACGUCCCUGCCCUUUGUGCACACCGCCCGUCGCUACUACCGAUUGAAUGAUUUAGUGAGGUCUUCGGACUGGUGCCCGCGCUGGCCUCCGGGUCGGGGCGGCGUGUCGGAAAGAUGACCGAACUUGA
rnacentral:rRNA from 1 species